rnacentral:rRNA from 1 species
UACGUAGGGAGCAAGCGUUGUCCGGAAUCAUUGGGCGUAAAGCGCGCGUAGGUGGCUUCGUAAGUCCGUUGUGAAAGUCAAAGGCUCAACCUUUGAAAGCCGAUGGAUACUGUGGAGCUAGAGUACGGAAGAGGCGAGUGGAAUUCCUGGUGUAGCGGUGGAAUGCGCAGAUAUCAGGAGGAACACCGAUGGCGAAGGCAGGUCUCUGGGCCACUACUGACGCUGAGGAGCGAAAGCGUGGGGAGCGAACAGG